CCUACGGGCGGCAGCAGUAGGGAAUUUUCGUCAAUGGGCGCAAGCCUGAACGAGCAAUGCCGCGUGAACGAGGAAGGUCUUCGGAUCGUAAAGUUCUGUUGAAGGGGAAAAAGAGCGGAGAUAGGAAAUGGUCUCCGAUUGAUAUUACCCUCCGAGGAAGUCACGGCUAACUACGUGCCAGCAGCCGCGGUAAUACGUAGGUGGCGAGCGUUAGCCGGAAUGAUUGGGCGUAAAGGGUGCGUAGGCGGCCUGCUAAGUCUGGAGUGAAAGGUACCGGCUCAACCGGUACAGGCUCUGGAAACUGGCGGGCUAGAGAGCAGGAGAGGGCGGUGGAACUCCAUGUGUAGCGGUAAAAUGCGUAGAUAUAUGGAAGAACACCAGUGGCGAAGGCGGCCGCCUGGCCUGUUGACUGACGCUGAGGCACGAAAGCGUGGGGAGCAAAUAGGAUUAGAUACCCGUGUAGUC
rnacentral:rRNA from 1 species